GGAAAUGUAGCUCAGUGGUAGAGCGUUUGCUUAUGAAACAAAAGACCACGGGUUCAAUCCCU
rnacentral:tRNA from 1 species